CCGAAUUGUCAACAAGAGUUGUUGCUGGUCCUCAAAUGGGGGCAUGUGCACGCUCUGUUCACACAUCCACUCACACCCUGUGCACCCUCUGUAGUUCUAUGGUCAGGGGUCCUGUCCUCCUGCUGUGGUUCUGCAUUUCACACACACACUGUAACAAAGUCUCAUGGAAUGCAUGUCGCGUUUAACGCAAUACAAUA
rnacentral:misc_RNA from 1 species